GUAGGUGGCAAGCGUUGUCCGGAAUUAUUGGGCGUAAAGCGCGCGCAGGCGGGUUCUUUAAGUCUGAUGUGAAAGCCCACGGGCUCAACCGUGGAGGGUCAUUGGAAACUGGAAAACUUGAGUACAGAAGAGGAAAGCGGAAUUCCACGUGUAGCGGUGAAAUGCGUAGAGAUGUGGAGGAACACCAGUGGCGAAGGCGGCUUUCUGGUCUGUAACUGACGCUGAGGCGCGAAAGCGUGGGGAGCAAACAGGAUUAGAUACCCUGGUAGUCCACGCCGUAAACGAUGAGUGCUAAGUGUUAGGGGGUUUCCGCCCCUUAGUGCUGCAGCUAACGCAUUAAGCACUCCGCCUGGGGAGUACGGCCGCAAAGGCUG
rnacentral:rRNA from 1 species